rnacentral:rRNA from 1 species
AAUCAGGUAGGACUACCCGCUGAACUUAAGCAUAUCAAUAAGCGGAGGAAAAGAAACCAACAGGGAUUGCCUUAGUAGCGGCGAGUGAAGCGGCAAGAGCUCAAAUUUGAAAUCUGGUACCUUCGGUGCCCGAGUUGUAAUUUGAAGAAAGCUAUCUUGGAUUUGGCCUUUGUCUAUGUUCCUUGGAACAGGACGUCACAGAGGGUGAGAAUCCCGUGCGAUGAGGUGUCCAUUUCUAUGUAAGAUGUUUUCGAAGAGUCGAGUUGUUUGGGAAUGCAGCUCUAAGUGGGUGGUAAAUUCCAUCUAAAGCUAAAUAUUGGCGAGAGACCGAUAGCGAACAAGUACAGUGAUGGAAAGAUGAAAAGAACUUUGAAAAGAGAGUGAAAAAGUACGUGAAAUUGUUGAAAGGGAAGGGUAUUAGAUCAGACUUGGUAUUUAGUUAUCAUUGCUCCUUGUGGGUGGUGCUCUAGCUUUUUACUGGGCCAGCAUCAGUUUUGGUGGCAAGAUAAUGACAUUUGAACGUGGCUCUUCGGAGUGUUAUAGCUUUUGUUGAUAUUGCCUACUGGGACUGAGGUCUGCGGCUUUUGCCUAGGAUGCUGGCGUA